CAAAAAGCGGACGCUAUUGUCUUCAGGGACGCUCAGCGAGUCAGCGGCCAUUAUGAUUCAAGACGCAGCAGAAAUGGGUUGUUGGUUGUGACGUUUCUCACGAUGAAAAUUAAAAGGUGAUUUAGCAUGUAGAAACCAAUUUGCCAAAUCAUUCAACUCAGACUUGGGAAGUGCCUGUACAUUUCCGAAAUGGCGUGCCUCGUGUGUCUCGCUGCCUGUUCUUAGGCGUACGUCCCAUGCAAAUCAACAGCAAAAAGUAAAACAAAUGCUGGUGGUUACCUUGUUGCAUCCAAAUGGUGAAAGGUGUGACAAAGACAGAUUGAACAGUUGUAUGUAUGCUGAAUGUGAUUGCAGUGUAAUCCAGAUCAGUUGCUGUGCUGUUGUAGCUGAGCUGUUCCAUCUGGGUUCCUGACUUCAAAAAUGUUGUGUUGUCGUUUUCAUCCAUGCCAUAUGAAAUUGCUCUGCCAGUGAUAUUUUGUGUUGCUGCGUAAAAAGUUAGAUCUGUUGUCUUUCGAGUUUUCA